AUGGAGAUGACUGGCAUUGCCUUUACAUUGUGUUGGAAGAGCAGAGAAUUAUGUCUUGGUCUCAGUCAGCAAUUGAAGUACACAUUAAGGAGAGAACACAUGGUGAAGAUAAUGAAAGCCAGACCCGAGCCGACUAAAGGAAGGGGUGAAAAGAUGAAGGCUCCAUGUUGCAUAAGCAGACAGCUCCUGAUGUGCUGCCCCACAGCUCAUGUUGGUGGUAGAAUUCCUCAUGAGGGAGCGUGUCCCUUCGUAUCUGCAUUCAAUAAAGAUAGCUCUCCGAGUCCAGUGCGAUCUUCAUGCAGUCUAUGGCUUCUUUCCCAAGAUCUUUCACCUACUUUUUAAAUGGAAGCAAGUGUGGAUUUAGGGCUGGGCUGGGAGACACGAGGGAAAGUGUGUGAUUUGGAGCUCCACACUCAAACACCAUCUGCACCA
rnacentral:lncRNA from 1 species